AGCUCAAUCCCUCGCCUCAUCUUCUUAUCUUAUAGAUUCAUAAGCAAUUCAUGAGAUUGCUUCACAUACAAAUAAUCUUCCAUCGAGGUAUUGAAGACUUUGUUAUUUACAACAUUGUUAUCUGUCUUCAAAAACCAUCCCUUCCUUGGUUAGAGUUUUUCGUGUGAUAUAUUGAUUUAUGCACAUAGCAAGGAGGGAUGGUUUUUGAAGCUUUAGAUGCCAAUGACACAGUGGAUAAGCAAGAUGUGAAGCUUCAUGAUGUGAUAUGGAGUUGGUGCAUAUGUCAAGUACAGGAAACUAGAAGUUUUGGCUCCCUCCCAUGGUGCUCAUGCUUCUGCUUCACCAAGAGCAAGAAGAAUAACAGAAUAAGUGAAGGUGAAACAAAGAAUUGAAGGCCACUUUGAUUUGAGUAUAUGAUCAGAUUUCUGUUUGAAGUUGUUCAAAUUGUGGAAAUCGUAAAUCUUUUAUAAAUUGUUUAAUGAUCACUUUGGCUGUUUAAUAGCAAAGAGAUGU